rnacentral:tRNA from 1 species
GGCGCGUUAGCAAAGCGGUUAUGUAGCGGAUUGCAAAUCCGUCUAGUCCGGUUCGACUCCGGAACGCGCCUCCACUU